rnacentral:lncRNA from 1 species
CGCGGAGCCGGGAAGUCGCCGCGACUCCGGUGAGACUCAGAGUUGUCUCCGGAGGUGACGGGCGCGGAGGUGAGCGGUGGGGAGCAAGCGGCGACGGCGAAAACGCGGAGGCUGCGCCGUGGCCCCUUACCAUCUUUUGAAGGGAUAGUAGCGUAGGUCCAGGGUCCCACCGCCGCUUUGUUCGCAGCCUCUCCCUAAGGUACUCUUUGGAGAUGACUUGAACCCCCUCUGGGAUCCGAGGGUCUGGCUGGGGCGGGGGGGGGGGGGGGGGGGGCGACAGCUGUUAGGUCCUCCAUUUCCUGCUAAUCCGGGAAGGUACCAAAAGAGAUGAAAAGACUCCUGUAACCUGAAACUUCCUCCGUUCCAAACCUGGACCGGGAGGUGAGGUUCGAGCGGGGGCGGAGACCCCGGAAGGCGGGUCGCCAGCCGAGGCGGUGGGGGACGGAGCUAGGAGAGAGUGAGAAGUUUGGUCAGGAAGACGCUGGGGAUUAAGAAGUUAGACUUGGGGGACGAAUCUGAUCGGGAAAGAGGAGGGCGGGGGGCUGGAAGAGUGUAUAUAUAGUGUGGGCCUGGGCAGAAGGAAGACUUUACGCUCGGUGUCUCGGGACGCGCGCCCCUCUCCCGGGGAAAGAUGUGCGUGGGAGUGGGGGAGGCGAAGCCUGGACGGUGUUUCGGAGGGAGGUCCUGGGGACCGAGUGGGGACGACUUGGCUUGGGGAGUCCGGCUCCCGCACUCGGGGAGCUGCGGCCGCCGCCNCCGCCGCUCCUCACGCUUCUCUCCCGCCUGUCCCAGGUCCUGAAGCGGAUCGAGCGCGAGGCGCCAACAAAAGAGGCAAGAGGGUGCCACCCGGGGGCGGCGGCAGGAAGAGGAGCGGGAGGAAGAGCGCGGAGCUGAACGUCCCGAGCCUCCGUGCGUACUUUUUGGAGGGAAGGGGCGGGGGAAUCGGCCCCGGGAGGGGGACGCCGGGUGACGAGGGGUUUAGCCAAGUUCCGGCUUCGGCGUCCCUCCUCUGCUCCCACGAGAGGAAAGUUUUCUCCAGACGCUUCCGGCCGGCCGUCGCCCUCCG